rnacentral:rRNA from 1 species
UACGAAGGGGGCUAGCGUUGCUCGGAAUUAUUGGGCGUAAAGCGCACGUAGGCGGCUUGUUAAGUCAGGGGUGAAAUCCUGGAGCUCAACUCCAGAACUGCCUUUGAUACUGGCGAGCUUGAGUUCGGGAGAGGUGAGUGGAACUGCGAGUGUAGAGGUGAAAUUCGUAGAUAUUCGCAAGAACACCAGUGGCGAAGGCGGCUCACUGGCCCGGUACUGACGCUGAGGUGCGAAAGCGUGGGGAGCAAACAGG